UAACCGGUCUAUGAAUCAUCCUAUAGACAUCAAAGAUGUUGGUCCCUCUGUUGAUGCAAGGUCACAUCAGCAGAGAGGAAAGUCUCCUGAACCCAGAUGUUUGUCCAUGAAGAGUCAUCGGUCUAAUGAGCAUCUGAUUAACUUCAAAGAUGGACGGCGUUCUUAUGACACAGAGAUCCAUCAGAGACCAGGACCUGGAGCUGGACCUGAUCCUGAACCUGGUCUGCAAUCUGG